GAUGAACGCUGGCUACAGGCUUAACACAUGCAAGUCGAGGGGAAACGACGGGGAAGCUUGCUUCCCCGGGCGUCGACCGGCGCACGGGUGAGUAACGCGUAUCCAACCUGCCUCUGACUGAGGGAUAACCCGUCGCAAGUCGGCCUAAUACCUCAUGGUAUCGUCUGCGGGCAUCCAACGCCGCUUAAAGAUUUCAUCGGUCAGGGAUGGGGAUGCGUCUGAUUAGCUUGGUGGCGGGGUAACGGCCCACCAAGGCUACGAUCAGUAGGGGGUCGGAGAGGAAGGUCCCCCAGAUUGGAACUGAGACACGGUCCAAACUGCUACGGGAGGCAGCAGUGAGGAAGAUUGGUCAAGGGGCGAGAGCCUGAACCAGCCAAGUAGCGGGCAGGAAGACGGCCCUAUGGGUUGUAAACUGCUUGUAUGCGGGGAUAAAGUGAGGGACGUGUCCCUCAUUGCAGGUACCGCAUGAAUAAGGACCGGCUAAUUCCGUG
rnacentral:rRNA from 1 species